UAGGUGUAGUUUAGUGUUUUUAUAAUUUCA
rnacentral:piRNA from 1 species